UACGGAGGAUGCAAGCGUUAUCCGGAUUUAUUGGGUUUAAAGGGUGCGCAGGUUGUUUGAUAAGUCAGUGGUGAAAGUCUGUCGCUUAACGGUAGGAUUGCCAUUGAUACUGUUAGACUUGAAUAUGGAUGAGGUAGGCGGAAUGUGUAGUGUAGCGGUGAAAUACAUAGAUAUACCACAGAACACCGAUUGCGAAGGCAGCUUACUAAACUGUCACUGACGCUGAUGCACGAAAGCGUGGGUAUCAAACAGGA
rnacentral:rRNA from 1 species